GGGAAGCACAAAGCUGGGGAAAACUUUUAUUUACAAACAGUGUUUCUGAUAAAUGCCUCACUUCUAAAAUAUAUUAAAAAUGCAUAAAAUUUAUAAGAAUACAAGUCAUUCCUUUCAGAUGGUGAAAUUAAAGUCAUCUAAAAUCAUAGGAAAAGAUGCUCUAAAUCUCUGAAUUAGAGAAAUGCAAAUUAAAACAUCUUUGAGGUACCACCUCACAUUUCUCAGAUUAGCUAAGAUGACAGAAAAAGAUAAUGAUAAAUGGGAAUGUGGGAAAACUGGGACACUGAUGCGUUAUUGGUGGAGUUGUGAAAUGAUCCAGCCUUUCUGGAGACUGAUCUGGAACUAUGCCCAAAGGACUAUAAAAAUGUGCAUACCCUUUGAUCCAACAAGAAUACUAUAGGAAAUGUGUCCCAAGGAAAUCAUAAAGGAAGGAAAACGACUCACAUGUGCAAAAUGUUUGUAGCAGCUCUUUUUGUGGUGGCAAAGAUUUGGAAACUGAGUAGUUGCCCAACACUUGGGAAAUGGCUGAAUAAGAUAUGGUAUAUGAAAAUAAUAGAUUAUUGUACUAUAAAAAUGAUGAACAAGCUGAUUUUAGAAAGCCUUACAUGCAAGAUUUAUAUGAACUGAUACUGAGCAAAAUAAGUAGAACCAGUAGUGUACACAGUAACAGCAAGAUUGUAUGAUGAUCAACUAUGACAGAUUUGGUUCUUUUCAGUAGUUCCAAAGCAGUCCCAAUAAACUUCGGAUGGAAAAAUGCCAUCUGCAUCCAAAGAAAGCACUAUCUAGAAUGAAUGCAAAUCAACAUGUGUGAUAUUCACUUUUUUUUUCGUUGUGGUUUUUCCUUUUUGAUCAGACUUUUCUCUCCCAAUAUGAUUCAUAAAAAAAUAUGUAUUUUUAAAAAACAUGUACAUGUAUAACCAGAAAGAUAAAGGAAACAGUAAUUUAAAAAAAUUUGAAAUCUGAUUCUGAGAAGGAAAUUCACAGUGUGAAACUUCCAAAGGGGCCAUCAGAGAGACAGAGACACAGAAAGAGACAGAGACAGAGACACAGAGAGAAAU
rnacentral:lncRNA from 1 species